rnacentral:tRNA from 1 species
AAGGGGCUAGUUAAGUCUAUAACGUAAACUUGUCGAGUUUGAGUUACCCAGUAUGGGUGCUCUUUU